UAUGGCAGAUUAGUGCAAUAGAUUUAAGACCUAUAAAUGUAAAUUAAAUUAACUAUUAGGAAU
rnacentral:tRNA from 2 species